ACGGGAGGCAGCAGUGGGGGAUAUUGCACAAUGGGGGAAACCCUGAUGCAGCGACGCCGCGUGAGUGAAGAAGUAUUUCGGUAUGUAAAGCUCUAUCAGCAGGGAAGAAAAUGACGGUACCUGACUAAGAGGCUCCGGCUAAAUACGUGCCAGCAGCCGCGGUAAUACGUAUGGAGCAAGCGUUAUCCGGAUUUACUGGGUUUAAAGGGAGCGUAGACGGUUUGCCAAGUCUGAUGUGAAAGCUUGGGGCUCAACCCCGGAACUGCAGUGGAAACUGGUAGACUAGAGUGUCGGAGAGGUAAGUGGAAUUCCUAGUGUAGCGGUGAAAUGCGUAGAUAUUAGGAGGAACACCAGUGGCGAAGGCGGCUUACUGGACGAUAACUGACGUUGAGGCUCGAAAGCGUGGGGAGCAAACAGGAUUAGAUACCCUGGUA
rnacentral:rRNA from 1 species